CACUUUAUUAUUUAUGAUACCUACCUUGUUUGUUCACCUGCGUGUACAGUUAGAGAGGGUAGUUUGUGUUGCUGUGGGGUAUGUAUGGUGUGUAAUAGCAAUGCCUCCAGGGUCACUGGUUUGAUUCUGAGCUCAGGUUACUGUCUGUGUGGAGUGACGCAGGUUCUUUCCAUGUCUGCAGGUUCUCCGGUUUUCCUUCCACCUACUAAUAACCUGCAGGAUAAUAUGUAAUAAUAAUAAUAAUUUACACAGAUCAUCCUGUUCAAAAGUUUACACCCCCCUGGCUCUUAAUGUAUUGUGUUGCCUUCUUGAGAAUCAGUGAAUGCUUGCACCUGAUAUAAUAAGGAAAAUAUGAGUAAAAAUGUGUGUGUAUGACUAUGUUUGAGCAUACCAAACUCUACUGGACUCUAUUGUACUUGCAUGCACAAACUAUUAGAUCAAAUCAAGAUGUGUCCAUGUAGGCUAGUGCUUUGCUGUUUUGUGUAUGUUUUUGUGUGUGACAUCUCAAGGUCAGAAGCAGCAGCAGGACCUCCUCAUUGUGCUCGACACCAAUGUUCCCCUCAGCCACCUGGACUUUGUGAAGAGGAUUAGAUCCCAUGGACUUGGAGCUUCGAUGAGAUGAACAGAUUACAUGAUUCUCUCUGGGGUUCCCGACGCUGCUGGUUCCCUGGGUGGUUCUACAGGAGCUGGACUCGUUAAAAAGCCGGAAACUGUCAAAGGCCAGCUGUGGACUACAUCUACACCUCCCUGAGGAACCAGGAGCUGCGUCUCUGGAGCCAGUCCAUGCAGCAAGUGUCUCACGCAGCCUGCAGGCUGAACACGGAGGAUAAUGACGAUCUGGUGCUGCAGUGCUGUCUCCAGUACAAGACGUUGUAUCCAGAGGACACUAUCAUGCUGUGCAUGUAAGCCGUAUAUUCAAGACUCAGAAUUGUUCAGGCAUCUUUAGGAGGACAUCUUUGGGGGUCACAUCUGGAAUUGUUUUUAAUUUUAAUUGAACUAAAGACCUUGUUUUCAUCUUCUGGUUUGCUGAUUUGCUCACAGUGGCCUGCUGGACACCUUUGGAUAUUUGAAUAGUGCUUUUAACAAUAAACAAUGUCACAAUACACAAUAAUCUGUUACGAGCAUUUACAUUUUUAAUGAGUGAGAGAGAGGGAGAGUUAUUACAGCGAGGGAAAAAAGUAUUUGAUCCCCUGCUGAUUUUGUACGUUUGCCCAC